rnacentral:rRNA from 1 species
UACGUAGGGGGCAAGCGUUGUCCGGAUUUAUUGGGCGUAAAGAGCGUGUAGGCGGCCAGAUAAGUCCGCUGUGAAAUCUCGAGGCUCAACUUCGAGCUGUCGGUGGAAACUAUCUGGCUAGAGUCCGGAAGAGGAGAAUGGAAUUCCUGGUGUAGCGGUGAAAUGCGCAGAUAUCAGGAAGAACACCAACGGCGAAGGCAGCUCGCUAGGACGGUACUGACGCUGAGACGCGAAAGCGUGGGGAGCGAACAGG